rnacentral:rRNA from 1 species
AUGAGUGCGGUGAUUCAAAAGGUUCAGUCCGACAAAAGCGGGCUGACAGGAGCCUGUACAAGUCUGUUAACAGGCUUUGAGGCUACGCUGCUGACCUCUGCCGCACUGACUGCGGAGGUCAAUGCAUUGAAGGGAAGCCUCGAGCGGUCCGAGAGCGAGCUCGGCCGUGCCAAGAAGCAGCUCGAGGAUAAGGAGGGGGCCACGGCCGAGGUGGCGACCCUGAAGGAGGCGGUCUCCAAGGCCGAAAAUAGUGCGGCCCUGGAGCGCGCCGAGCGAGAGAAGCAGGAGGCGCGGGUGGCGGAAGUGCGGCAAGAGCUCCAGGCUCUCGUAGAAAAACACGAGAGUUUGGAGCGUGACUCGAAGACUCGAGAGUCCAAGCUCGCCUUGGCUCUUCAGAGUGCCAAAACCGCGAAGGCCGAAUCCCAGAAGGCCCUCCAAGAGAUCGAGGCGAUGAAGAAGAUAGCGGCGGGAGCGUUCACCGAUCUGCCCCGUAGUGUAUCUGAUGCUUCCGCGUUCUACCGAGCCGAGGAGGGGGGCUCGACGGAAAAGGUGUUCUGGUCUCAGUAUGCUGAGACCGAACAUCCGGUGCCCCUGAGCAACCAGCUGAAGCAGCUGGUCGAGCUCCACAAGGUGGCCGAACAGGCCAUGAAGGGCCUCAUAGUUCGGCUAUGGUCUGGAGAGGCCAUGCCUGGGAGCUACUUCGGUCUGGUGCGGCGGCUGGUGGACGCGUGUCCGUGGAUUGAAGUCAUCAAGCGCUCCGUCUGUAUUGAAGGUGCCCGUCGGGCCCUUGCCCGUGCUAAAGUGCACUGGGGCAAGCUGGACGCGGAGAAGUUUUUGACGGACGCGCCACCGCCGGGCAAGGAGUAUCGUACGCCCGAGAUGUAUUAUAAGGGCGUCCUGAAGGGUGCCCGCCUUAUAGCGGAAGAGUGUCCAAAGAUGUAA